UACGUAGGGGGCAAGCGUUGUCCGGAUUUACUGGGCGUAAAGAGCGCGCAGGCGGUCGUUCAAGUCGCGUGUGAAAGCCCCCGGCUCAACUGGGGAGGGUCACGCGAUACUGAUCGACUCGAAGGCAGGAGAGGGAAGUGGAAUUCCCGGUGUAGUGGUGAAAUGCGUAGAUAUCGGGAGGAACACCAGUGGCGAAGGCGACCUCCUGGCCUGUUCUUGACGCUGAGGCGCGAAAGCUAGGGGAGCAAACGGG
rnacentral:rRNA from 1 species